rnacentral:tRNA from 1 species
GCGGCCGUAGUCCAGCCUGGUUAGGACACGGGCCUUCCAAGCCCGUAGCGCGGGUUCAAAUCCCGCCGGCCGCA